UGGUCAACAGAGGGAGGCAAAGCCGCGAGGCAGAGCAAACCCCUAAAAGCCAUCCCAGUUCGGAUUGCAGGCUGCAACCCGCCUGUAUGAAGUUGGAAUCGCUAGUAAUCGCGGAUCAGCAUGCCGCGGUGAAUACGUUCCCGGGCCUUGUACACACCGCCCGUCAAGCCAUGGGAGCCGGGGGUGCCUGAAGUUCGUGACCGCAAGGAGCGACCUAGGGCAAAACUGGUGACUGGGGCUAAGUCGUAACAAGGUACC
rnacentral:rRNA from 1 species